UUUUAACUGCUGACAGAGCCUACUUAUUUUUUGAGGAAUGCUCUCCUGGUUGACCCAGAGUGAUGCCCAAGUUCUGUGUGGUAUAACCAUCAGCAAAGCGCUGAACCUGGGGACCUCAGAGGCUCACCCAGCAUGCACUGCGGCCCUUUCUCCUUGGGCUGCUCCAGAGUGAGUGUAGAAGCUGCUGAGAGUAUCCUGGCCUGUGCUCAAACCUACUCACGUCAGUUGAGAUAAUUUCAAAUAAAAUAAACUGAGUGGCUGAAAGAGUAAACGGAGGGGUGUCUAAUUAGAUACAAAUACAAAAGCGGUCAUUUCUCAGACAAUGAAGACGACCGCUUAAGGACAUUAAGAGUUCUACACUCACAUGGCUGUGAAAUGCUCUUAGGUUCUGUCUCCUUUGGUGGGUAGCAUUGUCUGGGUAUCUCGUCACUUGUCUCCAACCCCUUCCUCAUCUGCUUUGCUCUGGGCUCUGGAAAGCAGCUGGGUUGCACUGCCAACUUUCUUCAGAGAUGGCUGUACCUGGGAUCCAGUUUUUAUCAAGGACAGGUCAAAGUCCUGUGGGCACGGGGAGCAGUUAUGAGCAAAGUUGCUUUGUGAGUAACAGACCUGCCACCUUCUCCCUGUCCAGAAUGUUGAUGGGGCAACUGGAGAUUCAGCAACUGUUUUGUAACCACAAGGCCACAAAUCCUCUGCAGAAGUAACAGAGACAAGCUCGAGUCUUUUGUGAUGUCACAGAGACAAACCACUGAUGCAGAAAUAUCCGUCUAUUGGAUUUCCAAGAUAAUUAAAUGUUUGCAUCACUUAAACCACUGAUACUUGAAACUCAAAACAUUUCUAAUAUAUAUUGCCUCUUCUGAGAACUUGGUUUCACAAUUCCCAGGUGGUACCUUAUGGAUAUGGUUUAUGCAAGGAAAAUGAUGAGCAGCUUCAAUGAGGGGAUCCAUCUUCAGAAGUGCUGGUUACCAUCAACUAGGGGACCCAUCCCCAAAGACACCCCGGUAACCAUCAAUAAGGGAACCACCCUCAAAAGUCUGUCAGCUAAGGGACCCAUCCUUAAAGUUGCUGGACACCAUCAGCUAGGGGACCCAUUCAUCAAGAUGUUGGCUAGUAUUGGCACCUCUGUAUACUGUUCAGGGAGCAUUGAGGAGGAGGGAGUUGGACAGAUUUUGAGCUGGAGAAAGGACCGCUG
rnacentral:lncRNA from 1 species